AUCACUUUGUCAAUUUUGAAAGAGAAAGCUCAGUUCUCCUUUCAUUCUACUUGGAUGAAACUGCUGACUAUCACCCACCACUUGGAAGGAGCUGUGAUAUCAAGUCUGUUCUUACUCUGCACUCUGGAAUGGGGCCCUGCUCUCUCAUCCUGGCUCUCUGGUGAGUCUCCCCACCCCAGGCAAGAAAAUGAGGAUGCUGCUGGGAGAAAGCACCUUGAAGAUAAUUCCCUUUCAUCUACAGCUGCAGUGUUUGGCUGUUCUAAGGUUUGCAGAGCUAUAAAACAUAUGAUAAUCCCAAGGGUGGGGGAGAUACUGAAGGACAUCUCUUGAGUUUGAAGAAGAACUGAGGGCAAAGAACAGUGAAACACAGAUUAUUUAUAGAGGAUGCUUGCCAAAUCAAAGCCCAAGCUUUAAUUACAUCUUUAUACACUGUAGCCAUGUUUAAUAAAGGCUUAAAUGCAGUAUUAUUUAUCUGUUUG
rnacentral:lncRNA from 1 species